UGCUUAUGUGAUUACAAAUCCGGUAAAUAGUCUAGUUCGGUAGGUCACAUUCAUGAAAGGGAAGGGGAUUGUAGUUACGACGUAAGGAACAUAUCCGAUAUCAUUUGUGAAACGGUUAUUCCAUAAAAGCAUUUAUAAUAUUAAAGUUAUAAAAAGGCAUAAUUGAGAUAUUUUCAACACAAAUUUAUAACUGUUUCUGAUUCGAAAU
rnacentral:lncRNA from 1 species